CGCCAUUCAAAGGAGGAGCAGGCGCGCAAUUACCCAAUCCUGACUCAGGGAGGUAGUGACAAGAAAUAACAAUAAACCGGCUUAUGCCGGUUUAAUUGGAAUGAGUACAAUUUAAACAUCUUAACGAGGAACAAUUGGAGGGCAAGUCUGGUGCCAGCAGCCGCGGUAAUUCCAGCUCCAAUAGCGUAUACUAAAGUUGUUGCAGUUAAAAAGCUCGUAGUUGGAUUUCUGUGGGGACGGAGCGGCCGGCCGCACAUCGCGGUUCGAGCUAGCGCUUUCCCUACAUCCUGCCGCGAACCGUGCUACCAUUAGUUUGGUGGCGCUGGGGAUCGGCUCGAUUACUUUGAGAAAAAUAGAGUGUUCAAAGCGGGCCACAUGCCUUGAAUAAGUUAGCAUGGAAUAAUAACUAAGGACUUCGGUUCUAUUUUGUUGGUGUUCGGGACUGAAGUAAUGAUUGAUAGGGACAGUUGGGGCGGUCUGUAUUCCAAAGCGAGAGGUGAAAUUCUUAGACCUUCGGAAGACAAACAGCUGCGAAAGCGUUCCGCAAGGAUGUUCCCUUUGAUCAAGAACGAAAGUUGGGGGAUCGAAGACGAUCAGAUACCGUCGUAGUCUCAACUAUAAACUAUACCAGCUAGGGAUCGGCCAACGUUAUUUUAUACCGACUUGGUCGGCACCUUAUGAGAAAUCAAAGCAUCUGGGUUCCGGGGGGAGUAUGGUCGCAAGGCUGAAACUUAAAGGAAUUGACGGAAGGGCACCACCAGCCGUGGAGCCUGUGGCUUAAUUUGACUCAACACGGGAAAACUUACCAGGUCCAGACAUAGUAAGGAUUGACAGAUUGAUAGCUCUUUCUUGAUUCUGUGGGUGGUGGUGCAUGGCCGUUCUUAGUCGGUGGAGUGAUUUGUCUGGUUAAUUCCGUUAACGAACGAGACCCCAGCCUGCUAAAUAGCGCGCGUGAGCUUUGCUCGCGGCGAGCUUCUUAGAGGGACUAUGAUGCGCGAUAGCACAUGGAAGUUUGGGGCAAUAACAGGUCUGUGAUGCCCUUAGAUGUUCUGGGCCGCACACGGGCUACACUGGCGCCUGCAACGAGCAUAUCAGCUGGCCCGAGAGGGUCUUGGCUAAUCUUUUGAACCGGCGCCGUGCUUGGGAUUGACCUUUGCAAUUGUUGGUCAUGCAACGAGGAAUGCCUUGUAAACGCGAGUCAUCAGCUCGCAUUGAAUACGUCCCUGCCCUUUGUACACACCGCCCGUCGCUCCUACCGAUGAAUGUUCCGAUGAAAUUUUCGGAGAGCACCUGUGAACUUGGCUCUGCCUUGCGAACGGGAGGCUCAAAGUCAC
rnacentral:rRNA from 1 species